UACGGGGGGAGCAAGCGUUGUUCGGAUUUACUGGGCGUAAAGGGCGCGUAGGCGGCGUGACGAGUCACUUGUGAAAUCUCCGGGCUUAACUCGGAACGGUCAAGUGAUACUGUCGUGCUAGAGUACGGAAGGGGCAACUGGAAUUCUCGGUGUAGCGGUGAAAUGCGUAGAUAUCGAGAGGAACACCUGCGGCGAAGGCGGGUUGCUGGGCUGAUACUGACGCUGAGGCGCGAAAGCUAGGGGAGCGAACGGG
rnacentral:rRNA from 1 species